GUUCGUACGUGAGUAAAAUCGACUGCCGAAUCCGACAAGGAGUGUCCAAUGCUAACUGAAUUCCAGGUGAACCUGCGGAGGGAUCAUUACUGAGUGAGGGUGCCCAAGCGCCCGACCUCCAACCCUGUGUCGACCGACCCAGUUGCCUCGGGGGCGACCCGGCCCGAUCGGCGUCGGGGGUCCCCGACGGACCACGUCACUCUGCGUUCUUGUGUCGGAGUGAAUCACAAAAUUGAAUCAAAACUUUCAACAACGGAUCUCUUGGUUCUGGCAUCGAUGAAGAACGCAGCGAAAUGCGAUAAGUAAUGUGAAUUGCAGAAUUCAGUGAAUCAUCGAAUCUUUGAACGCACAUCGCGCCCUCUGGCAUUCCGGGGGGCACGCCUGUUCGAGCGUCAUUACACCACUCAAGCCUGGCUUGGUAUUGGGCGACGGGGACUCCCCGCGCCUCCAUGUCACCGGCGGACGACCCGUAUCUCAGCGUUGUGGCACAAAUUCGCUGGCGAGAGGGGGGCGGUCCGGCCGUUAAAACUCAUCUCAGGUUGACCUCGGAUCAGGCGGGGAUACCCGCUGAACUUAAGCAUUAAAACGAGGGAGGAGGACUCCUCUAUGGGCUGAGACACGUUUUGCGCCGGGGUUCUCCGCCAUUGUGCUUAAAUAGAGGAUUAAGGGAAAGAUUGCACAGAA
rnacentral:rRNA from 1 species